ACAACAAGAUUGAUGAAUCGUUUCUCUCGCAAACAUUUAGUUCUUUCUAUUCUCCUCUUCUUGGCUGGCCUCUACAGCCCCUGCCACCACUCGUACCGCUCCAGCUACGACUACUCGCGGUAGUCGCACCGGCGGAGACGGCGACGACGACUCUACUCGGAGGAGUAACCGCAGGCGUUUCUGUAGACCAUACAUAUGAAAUACACUUCUCUUAGACUACUUCAGCAAUAUAAGUGAAAGCUUUCACGAGCGCACAUGAAUAAGAACAUAGUGUACUUAACGUAUGACUAUCACAUUAAAACCAGUUUAUGUACAGAAAAAAAAGCUUUUUACCCACUAGGGGCCAGAGACGUAGUCUUGCUACGUAUGCCGGUAUUAAUAAUUAUUCGUUUUCCAAGUUGUGUUCAGAAGUACAGAGUUUGUUUCUUGCUUUUUCUGAGUGUUUCUCGAUUUUUCAUUAUCCUUUCGGUGUUGGCCGACCGUAUUUUUCUAUCCUAGUGACUAACGGAUAGGAUAAUGUACUGGCGGUAAGUUUGGCCAACUUUUAUCGGACACGAUAGUAGAAGGUAGCCUAUCUAGGUCAUUGGUAUGCGAGAGACCGGAGGCAGCCUCACUCAUCGCUGGUGUAUGCCUAGUUGCGUUACCGAACUUUUUAUUGGACGUUUUUCACUUAUAAACAACAAGACAAUUUCUGGUUUAGUAAAGACGUCAAGGUCUGACGGGUAUUAUUUCGUGUAUGAGGAUGUGCCUACACAGAACGACAAAGCCUUAGAUAGGGCAGAUCGGUGCAGAGUUUAUUGCAUAACUAUCAUAAGCUUCCUCAUUAUAAUUUACGAUACACCUGGCAGGCGGUGUUUUAAAAACAGUUUCCCGUCAGUUCUUUCUCCACAAACUACCUAAGUAGUACCAGCGUUUUUGAUUUAGAACAUCUAGAACAGGUCAACGCAAAACGGUUUAAUAGGAAUCAAUUUUACUGAACAGUUUAUGUACAGAAUUUUAUCUGUGUGGAUAAAAUCCUACAUUAAACAAAAGGUACUGUACGUACUAGAAUAAGGGACAAAUAGGUCAGAACAAACAAACUGACUCUAUACUAGUCAGUUUACGUUGAGUGUUACUCUUUAUAUACUUAGACCCAAGUAAUACGGUACUCUCUCUAACGAAAUAUAAAGAGCGAAAUACUACACGAACAGCUCACUAUUGAAACAUUAUCGAAGAGUUAAUUACUUUCCCCGGGAAAACGGCGACAAAGCUUUUAUUUUAUAAUACUUAGACACAAACCUAGCAACAACAUUACGCGAGAACGAGAAAGGGAGGACUACCUUUAUGUACAGUUAGGAAAGCGGAAGCACUCUAUUUUUAAUGAGACUGUAUAUCUAAACUGUUUGAAGGGACACGUGAUAAUGUAAGGUACUAGGUAUACCGUGGUUCUCAAUCGAGAUUAUUUGAUACGAAGCUUCCAAGUAGUCUCUGCUCGAUCUCUGGUACGUACGUAAGGAAAACAGGUAUCUUCGUUGCUUCUUGUUUUCGUACCAUGACGUCCACACCCGAUUCGUUCAUUCCCUAGAAAGGAUACCAUAACUCCUAACAGAACUACUUAAAUACCACGUACACCUUUCGGUCUCGGCCAGAGCCGUCUACACAUUCUACUUUCUGGCGGUAGCCUAACGGUUGGUUUAGGCACUAGAGUUUCGUUCUCAACUUCUUCAGUCGUUGUCCUUGUGUGCGAUAUUGAAUUAGUGUCAACUACGGAGGUCGUUGUAACUACCCCACUUAAGGAUGUACCUUCUAUAAGCGUUGGUGAGUCGAUCGUUGUAACUGCUCCGUCUCGAACACCCUAAACGAUUCGGAUUUCUCCUCAACUAAUUCUACCACCUACAGCUGAGGUCUCUACCAGAAACGUUCCACUAUACACAACAACCGUACCCACCAAAUCCUUUCUGGUGAGAACGUUCCUUCCGUAUACUUUCAUUCCUUCUAUGACAAUUAUUAAAAAGAACAACACGGACCCAGUGUCAGAGUGUCAGUAAAAGGUUCUAUCUAUACGAGUUCCUGUACUAAUCCGUCGAUAACCCACGACUAAGUAACUUCUAAACGAACUUCCUUGAACUUCCCUCCCGCCACGUUCAUCUGUUAGAACGAUCGAUGGACUCUCUUUUCGAUCACCUCUUCUCCAUGAAGUAACAAGAACUACUAGACACCUGUUAUCUAAGAACCUUCACCUAGUUUCUAUAACGUAAAGGAUCAUCUUUGUUAUUUCCAUCGGCCUAUUAUCAUUGUUGUGCUCUACUACCGAACCGAUUCCUCACGUGUAGACUUAGAGAACAGAUAGUGGAAUUCAUGAACGUUUGUUUACUACGGUGUUUUAACGAUGAUUAUUUCUCAUCCUUUUGUGUAGUUCUGUACCUAUUACUAUUCCUCUACUUCUGGUACCAACUGUUUUAUCAUUUCUUCACACCACCGGAUGGCGACCGACAUGAGUGAUAUCCUCCGUACGAACGGUGGUUUUUUCAUUGUCUCACCCUCUCAUAGAUAUUUGUUUAGGGGAAUCUCGAACUCCAGUUAGGAUCGGAACUUCGUUACUCCUCCUAACAAUGAAACUCGAUGUUGGUGAACGGUAGAGUAGAGUUCAGUACAAAAAACAUAGAUUCGUAGAAAGGACUCCUAAGACUUUAGUUUUCCUCUGCAAACCACCUCUCUACCUAUCGGCUCCCCAAACAAUCUCGCUCCCGAGCCCACUCGUAACUCUUACACCCUUUACUAAUGAAAUUACUCGAACAGUUGGCAUCGUACUAAGUUAGAAGUUCACACUUAAAUCUUCCUCAACAAUUCUCAACAGCUCAGGUACUAUAACACGCACUACAGUACCAGAGUUAAAGGUCUCUACUUUUAAAACACAUACACCGCCUUCUUUUACAUUGAUCACGGCGUCUUCUCUGUAAAGCGGUACAUCGUGUGGUACCAUCGUUCAAGGUCUUAUAACCGUACCUAACCCCGGUACAAGCCAGUAACUGGUAUAAAUCACUCUCUGGUAACCUUAGAAGUUAUAAAAGUGGGCUCCGUUCUUACGAGUCUUAGAACCUAGAUCCCUUACGUGUUAAAGCUCAGUGUGUUCUCCUAUAGUUAUUGUAUCCUAACAACACGGUGAAUUUCAUACACUUAAAAAGAUUAGGAUUUUCCAUAAGUAUAUAAAUAUUUGAGGGUUCCAGGUAUCCUUUUAAUGUCCCGAACGCAUGAAACCUGUAUUCUCCAUCAAUAUAAUGUCUUGAUGGUUGACUCUAAUCAUUCGAGUUCUCGGACGUGUCAGAGGCAACAUGGUCUUUAUCAAGGAUGCUUAUGAAACUGGACCUACUGGGGUUCCUGACAAACGACUGGUGUAAAACAGACGGUCACGACAAGUGUGGAAACCGACUAGCAUAACUGCCGUGACUCCAUCAACGCCUCGAGGUGUACCGUACCAGAUCGGCAACCAGGCCCAGUUAUCCACACUCCCACGGUUUUCCUUAACCGUUGGAUUUUCUCGAUGUUUAUGAUCUCUGGCACCUGCAGUCUGCUUGAUCAGCGUUUCGUUAAUUUCUCGAACCACUCGAACACGUUGACUCUUUUGAUUCGAACCGUUACGUCCCCCGGUGGUUCGUUUUUACGUUCCAUGAAACACUACGGUAAGUCUUCGAGUCAAAGGAGGCGAUAGAACAACACCGUUCACUGAGUUUACCUUUUUAGCUCACCGACGUGAGGCAAAGGAGAUAAGGAUAGGACGACUCUUGGGACCCGAACACACCUACGGAACAUCUCUAAGGACCGACCAAACACUUAGACAACGUAAACCAGUUCGAAAUGAAUGACGCCUCGGUUUAUUUCCUUCUUCCAUUUAAGUACCUUUAUGAUCCACGUGACGGUUCGGAGCAAGUGGAAAUAGAACCUCAACCGAGAAUAUAUCCCCCCUUCAAUCACAAGUUUUACCGUCGUAAGCGUUUAGAGUUCUUUGAACUAUAAACCUCAGACCUCGUUGACUCUCUCAACUACAAGCUCCUCCCGUGGAACGGGGUCAAUCUUUCCUAUCUUUAGUUGAUGACGGCUAACUUUAGUCCCUAGUAACCAUAGUUCGUGGAACGUUCGGAGUUCCUCUAAAGUGAACCAACCCUACCAUUUCACCGUUCCGAACCAUACGACGUUGUAUUUCACCUAUGUGUGGGGUUGGCAGGACAGGACGCUGAGUUCUACCUGGCCUCGGUGGUGCUGGAACCGCUGUAGCAGCUUACUAGAUGACGAAGUCAUGUUCACCUCCUUCGUUGUCACCCCCUCCUUAGUAGAGAGGUACGGCUGGGACGUCGUCGCCCUCGCUCGAGGAGGACCGUCCACCACCGGCACUGCUGCACCUCGCUGUCACUUCUACUAGACGCGACUUCUACUCAACUCCCAACGUCGACUACUAACUAAAGAAGAGGCACGUAGUAAGCGAAGAAGCUAGUGGAAGUACGAACGUUCAUACUCCACAACGAGCAAAGGUGAACUUCCGUUACCACUACUACUUCUGCUACUAUUGAAACCAACGACGAGGUAGGUAAGAAAUGGUACCGCGAGGAGGUAGACUUCCCUUGUUUGUAGGUAUGUAGGACACGCAGUGCUUUUUCCGAGAGCGGGGCGAAAUAUAUAUUACAGCUCACUUCAGACUUCGGUAACCUGGCAAAAGACUAGGUUCUACCUGAAGAGCGACAGCAACAAGACUGCCAGGUUCACGGAGAGUUUGUACUUGGUUCUUCACUAGUUGGACUAUUGACCACCCCUCUUCUGCACCUUUUACGUUACCUGAUGUGGUGUGUUCUACUAUGAUGAUUGAUUCGACGUAUGUAACAAACGACGUUAACCGGUAGUGCGAGUCGAAAGGUUCAGUCGACCACCACCGGAGAUAUACGGCAUUUUACUUCAACUCUCGGACUCUAUGUUGGACUACAAGGAUUCCACGCUUACAAUUUCCUCACGUAAAGAGAAACCCCUUGAGUUACAUUCCCUUCUCUACUUCGAUGGUGCUAAAGCUCUAGAGCCAUCGUCAAAUGCUAGCCAUAAACCCCUCGGGGUACCUUACCUAGUUGGAAUAAACUUCUGGACGUUGAUUAACACUUUUAUCUGAGUGAAACAAAUGAUCAUGAGAGAGAGAAAAAGUCUCUACUAAAUAAUGAGAGGUAAACAACGAUGGUUAUAUAAACGUUCGAAUGUCGUUAAACACUUCUUUUUACUCCUAACGUACACAACAAUAAGUACAAGUUGUGUAGACGAUAUAGGCUCAAGGCGUCUGACUUAAGCUGCUUUACACCGACGAUACCGGCGUGAGAACAGGAAGAGGUACAUUGUAGUCUGGUUAGACGUCAUAGUCUGCCACCUUAGUCUUAAAUGCACGUUUACGUACACGGAGAGACGGAGCCAGUACGAGAACUUUCGGACUUUAGUAACGGUUAAACCUUAUUCUUAAAUGCGCGUG
rnacentral:rRNA from 1 species